rnacentral:lncRNA from 1 species
GGCAGCCCUAUUUUGCUUCUCUUGAUGUCACGAACAAAAAUUCUGUUUACAGCAGUGAAACAGAAAUGGGGAGGAGCAGAUGCUGAAAAUAAUUCAUUUUAAAAUUAGCUUGAUGAGAGAGGGAGGGCGCAGAGGAGUACUAUAGAAUAAAUGUACCAGAUUUGGUUAGACACAAAACAAGCAGAAAAUUAAUAAGCCUUUUUAAAGAGAGUUGCCUACAGGACUGUAAACCCUGAAAACCAAUUCCCGUGGUCUGUGGGUGUCAUGAGAGUUUUGAAAUGUAAUGAAUCUGGACCUCCUUGCAGGCUCUGCUGGGGAUUUGGUGACUCUUCUGUAAUGUUUCUCCAUAUAAAUGUGCCACAAAUCUCAGUGCCGCCUUCUCCUAACGCAGGUAGGGGCCAUGUGUGUGAAGAGGCCAGCGAUCUCUACUAGACAUUGUGGCAGCACACUUCAGCUGCUUCAUCCAUGGAAUGAAGGCUUUGGGAUGGAGACAGCACUGUGGGACUUGCUGCUGUGGCUGCUGCAUGACACCUGCAGGUGGGCAGCUCUCCGGAACUGUGACACUCCCUUCAGAGGAAACUGGCUGCUGGAAUGGUUGCUCCCUUAAUGCUUUACCACCCUGCUCUGACUUCAGCAGCGCCAAACACACUGAUACACGCGGAAUUAAGUGACUGCUUUUAGUCAGACUGCAGUAGCUCACACAGUGUAAUCUGUUCACAAUUACACUGUGGCCUAUUGCAAGCUUGAGAGAGGCAUCAGCUUUGCUGCACAUCUUUUUACUGCUCUAGCAGUGCUCUUGCCUGCUCCUGAGAGCAAGGGGCAGUCCAGCUGUAUUUAAUUUUUUUCCACUGUCUGUAUUGACUCACAGUUAUUUCUCAAUGCUUUUUAAUACAAGUAAAAUAUAACUCCUGGCCCUUCUGGGAAUACGUCUGAUUUUUCAGGUUUUACCUUUCUCAUUGAUCCCUUUCCAGUUAUUUUGGCCAAAGGUGGGGAAGUGAUAUGUGACAUGGAGCAGCUCUUUUUUUGUAACUAGACUAUAUGAAAGGCUCAACUGAUAAGCUAGGAUUCCUGCUUUUGUGCAGCCAAGACAAUUACUCCAGGGAGAACACACUUCAGUGCACUCUUCACAGGCAAAUUCGGUGCAUUGUAUAUAUGUAUAUGUUUCUCCUCUGGAGAGUGAACUGGACACAGAUUACAUAAGGGAUGUAAUCUUGUGAAGUCAGACCCAUUAGAGAUAUUUAGUACAGCCUCAGCAGUAAGAACUGUUCAACACAAGUUGCAAGACAGUGAUGAUGAAAGGUGGCUGUACAGGGCUUACUGUAAAGGAAUUUAAAAUUGAUUCUGAGCUGACAAGUGGCAAAGCAUAGAAGAGGAGAAUAAAAUGGUGUUUAAUUUCA